rnacentral:sRNA from 1 species
UGAUAAGGUCGAAAAGGUCAUAAUGCGAUCAUGCUUGCAUGAAUCGCAUCAUGACUUUGAGACCCGCCGAACAUGAGGAAGCAGCAAUUUACGUAGUAAAUUAGCGGAUUCCGAAUGUUCGUAGAAUUGCGAGAGUUUCGCAGAAACGGAGCAAUUCGUAUCAU